ACCUCGGGAAACUGAGGCUAAUACUUCAUAGUUGGAAAUUCCUGGAAUGGUUUUCCAUCGAAAGAUAUUUCUAAAUGCGGAAAAUUCGCUGAAGGAUAGGAUCGCUUUCGAUUACGGUUGUUGGUGAGGUAAUGGCUCACCAAGCCUAUGAUCGAUAAGGGCCGUGAGAGCGGUAGCCCUGAGAUGGAUACUGAGACAAUGAUCCAGGCCUUACGAGGCGCAGCAGGCGCGAAACCUUUACAAUGCACGAAAGUGUGAUAAGGUUACCCGGAGUGCUAAAAUUAAAUUUUAGCUGUUAUAGGUGUGUAAAUAACCCUAUGAGAAAGGAGAGGGCAAGGCUGGUGCCAGCCGCCGCGGUAAAACCAGCUCUUCAAGUGGUCGGGAAUAUUAUUGGGCUUAAAGUGUCCGUAGCCGGUUUGGUAAGUUCCUGGUUAAAUCUGGCAGCUUAACUGUCAGUCAGCUAGGAAUACUACUUUACUAGAGGGUGGGAAAGGUUUGAGGUACUCCAGGGGUAGCGGUGAAAUGCGAUAAUCCUUGGGGGACCACCAGUGGCGAAGGCGUCAGACUGGAACACGCCUGACGGUGAGGGACGAAAGCCAGGGGAGCGAACGGGAUUAGAUACCCCGGUAGUCCUGGCCGUAAACGAUGCGUGCUAGGUGUUGGUAGGGCUUUGAGCUGUAUCAGUGCCGUAGGGAAACUGUUAAGCGCGCCGCCUGGGAAGUACGCUCGCAAGGGUGAAACUUAAAGGAAUUGGCGGGGAAGCACCACAAGGGGUGAAGCCUGCGGUUCAAUUGGAGUCAACGCCGG
rnacentral:rRNA from 1 species